rnacentral:lncRNA from 1 species
AGUAUCUGUUGUGAUAUUUCCUUUUUUAUCACAUAUGUUAUUAAAUGGAAUUUUCCCUCUUCUCUUCAUUAGUGUAAUUAAAGGUUUGUCAAUUUUAUUCAUUUUUUCAAAGAAGCAACUUUUUGUUUUGUCAGUUUUUUCAAUUGUUUCUUUUGUUUCAUUUUCAUGGGUUACAGCUCUGAUUUUAAUUAUUUCCUGUCUUCUACUGCUUUUGGUGUUGAUAUGUUCUUCUUUUUCUAGGGCUUUGAGAUGUACUGUUAGGUCAUAUAUUUGUUUAAGGAAUGAACUCCAUGCAAUGAACUUUCCUCUUAGUACUGCCUUCAUAGUGUCCCAGAGAUUUCGAUAUGUUGUAUCUGUGUUCUCAUUCAUCUCUAAGAAUCCUUUAAUCUCCUCCUUGAUGUCUUUUGCAACCCAUUGUUCAUUCAUAGCAUAUUGUUUGGUCUCCAGGUGUUGGAGUAAUUUUUAUUUUUAUUUUGUCAUUGAUUUCUAAUUUCAUUCCAUUAUGAUCUGAUAAAAUGCAGGGUAGUAUCUCUACUUUUUGUAUUUGCUAAGCGUUGCUUUGUGGCAUAUUAUGUGGUCUAUUUUAGAGAAGGAUCCAUGUGCUGCUGAGAAGAAAGUAUAUUCACUUGAUGAAGGAUGAAAUAUUCUGUAUAUGUCAGUUAAGGCUAAUUUAAUGAUUGCAUUAUUGAGUUCUAUAGUUUCUUUGUAGAGCUUUUGUUUGGACAGUCUAUCCAGUGGUGAAAGAGGUGUGUUAGGUGUGUUAAAGUUAUCCAAAAUUAUUGUGUUGUGGUCUGUUUGACUCUUGAACCUGAGAAAAGUUUGUUUGAUGAACAUAGACACUCCAUAGUUUGGGGCAUAUAAAUUUUUUAUUGUUAUGUCUUGUUGAUGAAUUGUUCCCUUAAGCAGUAUGAAAUAUCCUUCUUUAUCCCUUUCGAUUAAUUUUGUCUUGAAGUCUACUUAAUUGAUAUGAGGAUGGAAACUUCUGCUUGCUUCUGCAGUCCAUGUGAAUGAUAUGAUUUUUCCCAACCUUUCACCUUCAGUCUGUGGAUGUCUUUUCCUAUGAGAUGAAUUUCUUGGAGGCAGCAUAUUGUUUGUUGUUUUUUAAAUUUAAUCUGCC